AGGGUGUCUGGAGUGGCGUUCGCUUGCGAUAGUAGCCUAGAGAUGGUCAAGAGUAGAAGGGGAGACUGGAGAGAGAUGGUAUUGGUAUCAGGUGAUUUCCAGAAAUAUGGUUACCCUUUUGUUUCCCUUUUAGUCUUUGGGAAAAACAGGAAGAAGAGUUGUCAGGCGAGUUCGCAGAUUGUCAAACGCCUCCUUGCAAACUAUCACCAUAUGAUUUUCCAUGCUUCAUGCUAAGUGGUGAACUGAACUCUUUAUUUUGAAAGCCAUUUCACCGAAAAGUUUAAUGUUCUUGUGGUCAUCAUAGAUAUCGUUUCGUCAACAAAGAUUAAAAAGAAAAAAAAAACAAACUAUUAGAAAACUUAAAGGUUGUUUCAGAUGAAAUUAGGAUUAAAGUAUGACUUUACAUGCUGUGGAAUGUAGUUAAUCCCAGAAACUAGGAAACUAGUAAGUAAUGAUAUGGUUCUUCUUGAUGAGAAGGUGCGUCAAAUGAUUCUAUAUCUUAACUAUCUUGCUUAUUAGUUGAAUUUUCAUUUACCCUUUUGUCUAUUAUUUAGAAUGAACUGAUCCCUUGGACUAAUCAAGUUACAACAUGCGUUAUCGUCUUCAAGAUUUGCUCUAAUGGAAGAGGAAAUACGUAUUUGGUGGAGGAAUUUUCAAAUGUUAAGAACAAGGACACUAAUUGUGUUGUUAUUGUUAGUAAUAACAAGCUAACGAUUCACUUUUCAUGCCAACGUAGCCGGGGAAGAAAUUGGAGAUGAUGACAUGACAAUAUCUCUGAUAGAUUCGACUUCAUUGAGUAUCAAAACCAAUGUAGUAAGAUCGAAAAAGAUGAUGUGUUCGUAAGUGUUAGCUUUGAUCUAAUUAUUAUAUCUAAGGCGAUUUUCCAAAACAUAAGGGUAGGAACUACUGAUAACAAAUGUCAUUGGCCAAAUUAUGAAAGGAGCAAUGAGCUUGAGAAAGGCCAAUGAAGCCAAAAUGAAAAGCAUCCCUAAGCUUAAAGAUAAGAGGUAUAGUAUGAUAAUAAACGCUACGUCUGCUAAUGAUUGGAUAACUGGCACCCCUUGGGGAUCUUGGUAGAUAGAUUUCCUUCUAGAGUUCUGUAGACUCAGAUAUUCAAAAGAAUGCUAAGGUGGCUGCUGUAACAGAGGGAACUUUGGUUGGAUCUGGCCUUCUCCCAUAUCUGAGGAUCUACUUGCCAUUCAAGUUGCUGUCCGUGGAGUUAUAUUCCCCAGGUCUAAUGCUGUGGAUCUGGUAAAAUUCCUUGGUGCUCAUCAUGGGAAGUUGAAUAAAAAAGAAGCCUGGACGUUACUAAGCCCUCCGGGUGGCCAAGGUUUAGCGGCACAAACUCAUAUGCUUUAGGCCCAGUGUUCUGAAGCACGCUCUUAUCAAAAGGCUUGCUACUUUACAUAGAAUGCAGAUCCAAGAUAGGAUGAAUGGCAGUGUUCAAUUGAUGGGUGCUUGUCUGCUGUGAGAGAAGGAAGAUGAAACAAGAGAGCAUUCACUUUUCCAAUGCUCUUUCUGAAGACAAAUUUGGUUGAAGGGGAUGAUAGUUGAAGAUGAGUGCGCAGAUGCUACACAUAUUGGGUCCACAACUCCGAUAUCGGUAGGAUAUGGAGGGGGUGCUUUCUUGUUCUCUUUCAAGCGAACCGCUGAUGACGACUGCUUCAAAUCGGUGUGUUCUUGGAGAGAAUUCUAAUUUAAUCACCCUCUUUCUCCUUUUUUAUCUUUAUUUAGAAAAAGGCGGCAUGAGAAGAUUGGUGCCGUAAAUCACAACAAAAUUCCUGAGCUGCCUAUUUCAUUUCAUGCAUGUAGCAGCACAUGUUAAGAUUUUCAGACACAAUAUUUCGUGUUUGACCCCAAAGAAGUCGAUUAAGUUUAAACCUAAGAUGCACUAGAAUUGUGAUAUCGUUGACAUGCAGAUCCUUGAAUCUUGUUCAAAUAUGCAAUAGCAUGAUCUCUUCUAGUCA